rnacentral:rRNA from 1 species
CAGCAAUGGAGAGUGGCAGACGGGUGAGUAACACGUGGGAACCUUCCCUUUGGUUCGGAAUAGCUCAGGGAAACUUGAGGUAAUACCGGAUAAGCCCUUACGGGGAAAGAUUUAUCGCCGAAGGAUGGGCCCGCGUCGGAUUAGCUAGUUGGUGGGGUAACGGCCUACCAAGGCGACGAUCCGUAGCUGGUCUGAGAGGAUGAUCAGCCACACUGGGACUGAGACACGGCCCAGACUCCUACGGGAGGCAGCAGUGGGGAAUUUUGCGCAAUGGGGGAAACCCUGACGCAGCAACGCCGCGUGGAGGAUGAAGUCCCUUGGG